rnacentral:rRNA from 1 species
CGGCGGACGGGUGAGUAACACGUGGAUAACCUACCUAUAAGACUGGGAUAACUUCGGGAAACCGGAGCUAAUACCGGAUAAUAUAUUGAACCGCAUGGUUCAAUAGUGAAAGACGGUUUUGCUGUCACUUAUAGAUGGAUCCGCGCCGCAUUAGCUAGUUGGUAAGGUAACGGCUUACCAAGGCAACGAUGCGUAGCCGACCUGAGAGGGUGAUCGGCCACACUGGAACUGAGACACGGUCCAGACUCCUACGGAGGCAGCAGCC